rnacentral:rRNA from 1 species
CCUACGGGGCGCAGCAGUGGGGGAUAUUGCACAAUGGGGGAAACCCUGAUGCAGCGACGCCGCGUGUGGGAAGACGGUCUUCUGGAUUGUAAACCACUGUCCCCAGGGACGAAAAUGACGGUACCUGGGGAGGAAGCUCCGGCUAACUACGUGCCAGCAGCCGCGGUAAUACGUAGGGAGCAAGCGUUGUCCGGAAUUACUGGGUGUAAAGGGAGCGUAGGCGGGGAUGCAAGUUGGGUGUCAAAACUACCGGCUAAACCGAUAGUCGCACUCAAAACUGCAACUCUUGAGUGAAGUAGAGGCAGGCGGAAUUCCUAGUGUAGCGGUGAAAUGCGUAGAUAUUAGGAGGAACACCAGUGGCGAAGGCGGCCUGCUGGGCUUUUACUGACGCUGAGGCUCGAAAGUGUGGGGAGCAAACAGGAUUAGAUACCCGAGUAGUC